rnacentral:lncRNA from 1 species
GUGGCUGGAGAAUGUAGUGGAUGCAAAGAAAAAUGAAACAAAUAUUGGUUCAGUGAUGAGAAUUGAUGAACCAGUGAUGGAGAAAAGUGGAAUGAAGGUAGAGAUUGGGUUCUGAAAUGUGAUGCGGAUGGUGGAGAUAUGCUAGGAUUGGAAGCCUAGCUAGGGAGAGAGGCUAGAGGAAGCUCUCAAGCUCUCUCUCGGUGACCUUCAACAAGAAGAAAUUUCUGGACAGAAAUCAACAGAAUAAUUCUUCAUUCAAAUCAAAGGU